rnacentral:rRNA from 1 species
UGGGGGAUAUUGCACAAUGGGGGGAACCCUGAUGCAGCGACGCCGCGUGGGUGAAGAAGCGCCUCGGCGCGUAAAGCCCUGUCAGCAGGGAAGAAAAUGACGGUACCUGAAGAAGAAGCCCCGGCUAACUACGUGCCAGCAGCCGCGGUAAUACGUAGGGGGCAAGCGUUAUCCGGAUUUACUGGGUGUAAAGGGGGCGCAGACGGCGAUGCAAGCCAGGAGUGAAAGCCCGGGGCCCAACCCCGGGACUGCUCUUGGAACUGCGUGGCUGGAGUGCAGGAGGGGCAGGCGGAAUUCCUGGUGUAGCGGUGAAAUGCGUAGAUAUUAGGAGGAACACCAGUGGCGAAGGCGGCUUACUGGACUGUAACUGACGUUGAGGCUCGAAAGCGUGGGGAGCAAACAGG